rnacentral:tRNA from 1 species
GGUUCCGUGGCUCAGCUGGUUAGCGCGUCGUACUAAUAAUGCGAAGGUCGAGGGUUCAAUCCCCUCCGGGACCA